GGCCGCCUGGCGAAAUGGCAUCGCGUCUGACUACGAUUUAUUCGCCAUCAGGAGAUUGCAGGUUCGACCCCUGCGGUGGUCA
rfam:Sphaerobolus stellatus SS14 unplaced genomic scaffold SPHSTscaffold_1, whole genome shotgun sequence.